GGGGGCAGAAGGGUAUCUGGUGAGCCCCGCGGUCUUCAAAACCGUAGAGGGCGGCGGUCCCGCCUUGGUGAGUUCGAUUCUUACCUGCCUCCGCCA
rnacentral:tRNA from 1 species